rnacentral:ncRNA from 1 species
UAACUGGUGAAAGUCCAGUCCGAGUAAGCGCCAAGGCGCUCGGUAGCUAUCAGACAACUGGUGAAGAAAUUCUAAGGUUGAAGCUCUGUGAUAAAGUACCAACGAAAGUUGGGCAAGCAAGCCAUCAGGUUGUAACAUAA